rnacentral:rRNA from 1 species
AGCUCGUGUUGUGAAAUGAUGGGUUAAGUCCCGCAACGAGCGCUACCAUUAUCCUUUGUUGCCAGCGAUUCGGUCGAAAACUCAAAGGAGACUGCCGGUGAUAGACCGGAGGAAGGUGGGGAAGAAGUCAAGUCAUCAUGGCCCUUACGAGGAGGGCUACACACGUGCUACAAUGGCGCAUUCAAAGAGAAGCUACCUAGCGAGAGCAAGCGGACCUCAUAAAGUGAGUCGUAGUCCGGAUUGGAGUCUACAACUCGACUACUAGAAGUCGGAAAUGCUUGUUAUAGUGGAUCAGAUCGGCUGGGAAAUAUGUUCC